rnacentral:rRNA from 1 species
UACGGGGCAAGCGUUGUUCGGAAUUACUGGGCGUAAAGGGCCAGUAGGCGGCCAACUAAGUCCGACGUGAAAUCCCAAGGCUUAACCUUGGAACUGCGUCGGAUACUGGAUGGCUUGAAUUCGGGAGAGGGAUGCAGAAUUCCAGGUGUAGCGGUGAAAUGCGUAGAUAUCUGGAGGAAUACCGGUGGCGAAGGCGGCAUCCUGGACCGACAUUGACGCUGAACGGCGAAAGCUAGGGAGCAAACGGG